GAUGAACGCUGGCGGCGUGCCUAACACAUGCAAGUCGAGCGAUUUACUUCGGUAAAGAGCGGCGGACGGGUGAGUAACGCGUGGGUAACCUGCCCUGUACACACGGAUAACAUACCGAAAGGUAUGCUAAUACGAGAUAACAUACUUUUAUCGCAUGGUAUAAGUAUCAAAGCUUUUGCGGUACAGGAUGGACCCGCGUCUGAUUAGCUAGUUGGUAAGGUAAUGGCUUACCAAGGCGACGAUCAGUAGCCGACCUGAGAGGGUGAUCGGCCACAUUGGAACUGAGACACGGUCCAAACUCCUACGGGUGGCUG
rnacentral:rRNA from 1 species